UACAGAGGUCUCAAGCGUUGUUCGGAUUUAUUGGGCGUAAAGCGUGCGUAGGCGGCUGCGCAAGUCGGUUGUGAAACCCCGGGGCUCAACCCCGGAACUGCAUCCGAUACUGCGUGGCUAGAGGUAGGUAGGGGAGAUCGGAAUUCCUGGUGUAGCGGUGAAAUGCGCAGAUAUCAGGAGGAACACCGGUGGCGAAGGCGGAUCUCUGGGCCUUACCUGACGCUCAGGCACGAAAGCUAGGGGAGCGAACAGG
rnacentral:rRNA from 1 species